rnacentral:tRNA from 1 species
UGGCACAGUGGUUAAGCAUUUGGCUGCUAAUCAAAAGGUUGGUGGUUCAAAUCCACU